AGGUGACGGAGAAACUCACGGCAAGUUUCAACGCGGUCCUUACGGAGUAUGGUUUACCGGCGUUACGUCAACCUAAACUGGAUCGUCCUUUGGAGGACAAAGCUAGCCAUCCUAACACACAAAAAUCAGCACCGUCUAUACUUGAGUUAGAGGAAGAAACGCCUUGCCAGCUUUUACUAGAUGUAAAAGAUGCGGGUUUGAUUGUGGUGGCUGAAGGAAAUGCACAACCACGAAGUGAACGAGCAACAGUCCAUCAUCAAUCGUUGGACAAUGAUCACUUGGCGGUUAGUGUAGUCUCGAUCACUCCUGGUUACGAAGACUUUUCUCUCCCAUUGCCUAACCCGUCGACGGAUACAAAUGUCUUGACCGACGCUCGUGGUGGUUAUGUGCUCUGGCCAUCGGCAUGGGUGAGGUUUUCAGACGAGGUUUUGGAGAGAAUAAAGAAGCCUAACGAAAGCAAGGCGGACUCACCUCCUCUACAAAAGGCGAAGGAAAAGGAGGGUUCAAGCAAGCCAAAGAAGGCGAUUUGGGGAAGGAACGCAAGUCUCCAAAGGUUCAAGUCCCAAACAAAACCCUCCUAAACCUACUUGGAUCGAGUCAUCAACGCUUCAAGGUCUCAGUAAGGCAUGCUCGUGGCUACAUGCAAAUAUGCGUGAUAUGCCGGAUGAUACACCUUUGGAGGUUAAGUUGGAUGCCACGGAAUUCAACUACCACGAGGAAGCGUCGACAUGGGUGUCCAAGGAUGAUGUGAAAGAGUUCCUUUGCGGAGAUAUGUUGAAUGUUUCGU